AAGUAGGGCGGGACACGAGAAAUCCUGUCUGAAGAUGGGGGGACCAUCCUCCAAGGCUAAAUACUCAUCAUCGACCGAUAGUGAACCAGUACCGUGAGGGAAAGGCGAAAAGAACCCCGGGAGGGGAGUGAAAUAGAACCUGAAACCUGAUGCAUACAAACAGUGGGAGCGGAGAAAUCCGUGACUGCGUACCUUUUGUAUAAUGGGUCAACGACUUACAUUCAGUAGCGAGCUUAACCGAUUAGGGGAGGCGUAGGGAAACCGAGUCUUAAUAGGGCGUUGAGUUGCUGGGUGUAGACCCGAAACCGAGUGAUCUAUCCAUGGCCAGGUUGAAGGUGCCGUAACAGGUACUGGAGGACCGAACCCACGCAUGUUGCAAAAUGCGGGGAUGAGCUGUGGAUAGGGGUGAAAGGCUAAACAAACUCGGAGAUAGCUGGUUCUCCCCGAAAACUAUUUAGGUAGUGCCUCGAGCAAGACACUGAUGGGGGUAAAGCACUGUUAUGGCUAGGGGGUCAUUGCGACUUACCAACCCAUGGCAAACUAAGAAUACCAUCAAGUGGUUCCUCGGGAGACAGACAUCGGGUGCUAACGUCCGGUGUCAAGAGGGAAACAACCCAGACCGCCAGCUAAGGUCCCAAAUGACAGAUUAAGUGGUAAACGAAGUGGGAAGGCCCAGACAGCCAGGAUGUUGGCUUAGAAGCAGCCAUCAUUUAAAGAAAGCGUAAUAGCUCACUGGUCGAGUCGUCCUGCGCGGAAGAUGUAACGGGGCUCAAAUCUGUAACCGAAGCUGCGGAUGCCAGUUAACUGGCAUGGUAGGGGAGCGUUCUGUAGGCCGAAGAAGGUGUGUUGAGAAGCAUGCUGGAGGUAUCAGAAGUGCGAAUGUUGACAUGAGUAGCGAUAAACAGGGUGAAAAGCCCUGUCGCCGAAAACCCAAGGUUUCCUACGCAACGUUCAUCGGCGUAGGGUGAGUCGGCCCCUAAGGCAAGGCAGAGAUGCGUAGUCGAUGGGAAACAGGUUAAUAUUCCUGUACUUGAUUCAAAUGCGAUGUGGGGACGGAGAAGGUUAGGUCAUCGAUCUGUUGGAAUAGAUCGUUUAAGCCGGUAGGUGGAGCACUUAGGCAAAUCCGGGUGCUCAACACCGAGAAGUGAUGACGAGUGUCUACGGACAUGAAGUGACUGAUACCACGCUUCCAGGAAAAGCCACUAAGCUUCAGUUUGAAUGAAACCGUACCGCAAACCGACACAGGUGGGUAGGAUGAGAAUUCUAAGGCGCUUGAGAGAACUCAGGAGAAGGAACUCGGCAAAUUGAUACCGUAACUUCGGGAGAAGGUAUGCCUCUUAUGGUGAAGGAUUUACUCCGUAAGCUAUGAGAGGUCGCAGAGAAUAGGUGGCUGCGACUGUUUAAUAAAAACACAGCACUCUGCAAACACGAAAGUGGACGUAUAGGGUGUGACGCCUGCCCGGUGCUGGAAGGUUAAUUGAAGAUGUGCAAGCAUCGGAUCGAAGCCCCAGUAAACGGCGGCCGUAACUAUAACGGUCCUAAGGUAGCGAAAUUCCUUGUCGGGUAAGUUCCGACCCGCACGAAUGGCGUAACGAUGGCCACACUGUCUCCUCCUGAGACUCAGCGAAGUUGAAAUGGUUGUGAAGAUGCAAUCUCCCCGCUGCUAGACGGAAAGA
rnacentral:rRNA from 1 species